rnacentral:tRNA from 1 species
GGCCCCGUAGCUCAGAGGAUAGAGCAGCGGUUUCCUAAACCGCGUGUCGGGUGUUCGAAUCACCUCGGGGCCACCG